GGGGUCGAUCCGGCUUCGACGUGGGUCGCAAAACAGCGCAGAGCAUGUCGAGCACCAGUUCGCUCGUAAAUCCACUGGAAAUCUACAAACGCCAACGACGAGCGUUUCGCUCUAGCCGCUUAAUUGCGGUGAGCCGCUGCAUCGGUAUGUCUUUGGACCGAACGGGGUAAAACCCGUAGCAGCGUCAUCGACAAAGACUCGGGUCUGGUCAGGUCACUCGGCCAGCUCUUAAAUCCAUGUGAAUCGCCAAGGAAGGGCCCGUCGGCUGGCACGCUCCAAGGCUAAAUCUAAAAUGAACCGACUACACAUGUAGAACUGCCUGCAGAGGGCUUGCGGACGGGGGUUCAAUUCCCCCCGACUCCACCA
rnacentral:tmRNA from 1 species